CCGGGGCUGUGUCGAGGACCAUGCUGGGACUGCUGGUGAUGUCGGCUGCUGUUGCUAUGACAGCAGCUCAGCUCCAGCAGCUGAAGAAGCAGAACAGGCCGCCUGUAUCUGCCCCAUCCAGACUGCAUUGCCUCACUCCAGAAUCUUCUCUCAGUCCUAGAACCUGUUCAGAGUUCUAAAAGGUUUCCCCAGGUCUGGAAUCACUUCAACAUUUCGAAAUCCUCCCAGAGCUCCGGAAUUCUGUCGAAAGGUCUGGGAUUCGAUGGAUGGAGCUGACAGGAAUGUGUCCCUUUGAUGUUCUCCGAUUCUUAAAGGGAUUGGUGCCGGAACACCCUGCGGCCCGAAUUACAUCAGGAUCAGCUGGUGGGAUGAAAAGAAGGAGGGGGAGGACAAUGAUGAACCUUCAGCGAUCAUCUCCAUAACCCUGUCAUUUAGAACUGGAGGAGGGAAGGAGGCUGGGGAGAAGCAAUCUCUCCUCCUUUCAGGUCCCUCAAAGGGUCACAUGACUCAUCUCAGCCGUACAACGGCAAGCCUUGCUCUCUAACUGUGGUGAUUAGUGUCAAGCAGGAGAUGUAGCCUAGUCUCAUCCUGGUUCUGAGAUGUUUAGUAGGAUGCACUCUGACUUUGUGUAUAAAUUAAAGACUUCCGUCAUCAUUUAUUCCUGCGUUCCAUUCCAAACAUUCCUGAAUGAAGAUGAUGUGUUGGAACCUCAUUAACUUUAAUAACGGCUGACAGAUUCUUUAGAAUAUCUUUCUUUGUGCUCCACGGAAGAAAGUAACUUUGGAACAACAUAAUAGAAUUGUCAUUUUUGGGGUGAACUAUGCCUUUAAUAUAACUUGAAGUCCUUGCUCCAUUCAUCAUAUCUGAUGCCUGGUCCAAUUUGGUUCUAUCGCAUAAACAUAACAUUUUACCAGUCUAAGGGGAGCUAAGAGAAUGAAAUAUUGAGAAAGGAAUGCAGAAAGAUUGAGAGGGACUAUGUGGGCACUGCUGAAUCAGACGAAGUUUAAAUGCUGACGACGAACAUUAAUAUUUCUUAGUUGAUGACCGAUGAGGAGUUGACUUAUGAUCUAUUCGCUGCUGCCACCUUAAGUUCGGUCAUGGAACUUCACUCACAAUGCGGAAUGUUUUUGUCUAAAAGAGUUUAUUCUGUACAUUCACCUUUAUGUUUUAACUUCACAUUCAGAAU